UGGGUGUAUUUUUUAUUAUUUCUUUCCAUUUUUGUUUGGCUGAAAAUAUUUUUAUCUCACCUUCAUUCUUGAAUGAUUUUUCUCUGAAGGUAGACUUCUAGGUAGGUAGUUAUUUUCUUUCAGUAGUUUGAAGACAUCAUUCUAUUGUCUUCUGGUUUUUAUAUUCUCUACUGAAAAAUCAGUUGUCAGUCUACUUGUUGCUCCUUUGAAGGUAAAACAAGUUGUUUCCUCUAGCUGCUUUGAAGAUUUUCUCUAGUUUUUGUCUUCAGCAAUUACUUUCAUGUGCCCAAGUGUAGAUUUAUUCUGACCAUUAUGUUUGGGGUUUGUAGUGCUUCUUGAAUAUGUAAACAAAUGGCUUCCAUCACUUUUGGAAUAUUUAUUUAUUUAUUUAUUUUGUAGGGAUGCGGUCUCACUAGGUUAUAUCUGGUCCCAAACUCCUGGCCUCAAGCAAUUCUCUUCCCUUAACCUCCUAAAGUGUUGGGAUUACAGGUGUGAGCUACUGUGCCUGGCCUGGAAUAUUUUCAUCAUUUAUGUCUUCUGUUCUAUUUUCUUUGUCCUUUUUUUCCUGGUGCUUCAAGCACACAUAUGUUAGAUCUUCUCAUUCUAUUCUCUUUGUCUCUUAUACUCUCUUCUGUUUUCCAUUCUUUUGUCCUUCUCUGCUUUACUCUGGUGUUUCCCCCAUCCUUCCAGUUUAGUAAAUCUCUUCAGUUAUGUCUAUCCAGAGGUUCCCAGGCUUUCUUGGCUCAUAAUAUUCUUAAUAUCUCAUUCCUCUUCCCUCCCCCACCAUGGUGCUCCUAGGUAAAAAGGAAUACCUAAUAGUUUUCUUAAGUAGCUAGAUCCUAACAGUAUAAGUAUUUGUGUCAUAACAGAGUAGCCACCUUUUUGGCAUUGCACAGCUUCUCAAAUUAUGGAAUCAUUGAAUAUUGCUACCCUCAUUUCUUGCUUUACAUUGAUUUUCAUGCAAUAAUCUCUUUGUAUUACAGCGAUCUCUGAAAACUUGGCUUUGCAAAUAUAUGAUGUUAUCAGAAGGAAGGUAGCCAUCUAAUGUUGAAACUAUGAACUACUUUGAGCUAAUAGUUUGUGUUGUGUCCAACAGAUAGCAAUAUGUUUCCUUUCAAUAUAUAAACUAUUUUGCAGCACUCCUGUGAUGCACAGGAGCACCUGGGGCACCUUGGCACAUGGUUUGAGAACAGCAGGUCUACUCUUUUGUUAAACAUACCCAUUAAGUACUGAGUUUCAAUUAUUGUUUGCAUUUUAGUUCUAAAAUGUCUAUAUUACUCUUUUUUCAAAUCUUCUCUAUCUUAUUUAGAGAUUGUUUUCAGUUUCCUGCCAAAAUUCUCAAUGUUUUCUUGAGCAUAAUAACCAUAGUUACUUUAAAGUCUAUAAGUGGUCACCCCGAUAUCUGUGUAUCUGCAGAUCUGUUUCUAUUGGCAGUUGUUUCUGUUGUCAUUAUCCUGUCUUUUUAUGUGCCUGAUUGUGAUGAUAAGGAUGAUGGUGAUAUUGAUGAUGAUGGCAGAGAUGAUGAUGUCGAUGACAUCCUGGACAUUGCAUUUGAAAAACUAUGUGUAGAACAGUUUGAGGCCUAGAUGACAUUGUCUUCUCCUAGAGAAGAUUGACACUGGAUCUUGACCGGUGCUUUGUGUCACUAGUAAUUUUACUCCACUCUCAGAGACUGGUAUGCCUCAGAGCUGUGCUUCAGUCUCUGAGAGCUGCUCCAAUUUUGGUUCACAUUUAUUGUGAGAUGCUUUCCUCAGGAUCCCCACCCUAGGCUUCAGGAACAGGGAUGUUUUCUAAGUCUCCCUGACAUUAUUGUAUUCUGGAUCCCAUGAAGCUGUCAAAAUUCUUCUCAGUCUGUCUUUCAGACACUUCUGAUGAAACUGAAAAUGCCACCAGGGAGAAGCAGCUGAACAAUGUGAGAGAUAGAAUGGAUGCCCUAAAGAAGAGGAUGCAGCAGAAAUUAGGAAGAGAUAAAGAAGAGCAACAUUCCUUAAGAAAUGCCCUAUGGUUGGGAAUGGCCAUUUCAUGUUAGAAACAAAGUUCAGAGCUGGGUUUUGCACUGUGUGCAGCCUGAACCUUCCAAAGCUGGCCUCAGCAAUGUCUCCCUUCCUGCAUGCUCCUCUGCAAUGUGACCCUGACACUCCUCCAUCAAGAGGUGGGGCCCAACUUCCCUCUUCUUGAAGCUAGGUUCAUCUGUGACUUCUUCAACCCAUAAACUUUGGCAAAAGUGAUAUGCUGUGACUUCUGGGGUUUGGUUGUGAGUGACCAGGCAGCUGCUGCCUUGUUCAGAUAACACUUGUGCUGAGGUCGCUGAGCCACUGUGGAAGACAUCCAAGCUCCAUAAAGACAGGUCAAGUGCACAUGCUCCAGUCAACAGCCCAGCUGAGCCCUCAGCAUACAGCCAACACCAACUGCAAGCUGAGGGUGAAACAACUUGGAUGUCCAUUUGGAUGUCAAGCUGGACUUCAGAUGCCUGUGGUUGCAGCUCUGUCUGCAACUACAUGGAAGACGCCAUGUGAACCACCUAGUAGAGCCCUUCCUAG
rnacentral:lncRNA from 10 species